CUACGGGACGCAGCAGUGAGGAAUUUUGCGCAAUGGGGGGAACCCUGACGCAGCAACGCCGCGUGAGUGAUGAAGGCUUUCGGGUCGUAAAGCUCUGUCAAGUGGGAAGAACCUAUGCAGUGUUAAUAUCACUGUAUACUGACGGUACCACUGAAGGAAGCACCGGCUAACUCUGUGCCAGCAGCCGCGGUAAUACGGGGGGUGCAAGCGUUAUUCGGAAUCAUUGGGCGUAAAGGGCACGUAGGCGGCUUGGUAAGUCAGAUGUGAAAGCCCGGGGCUUAACCCCGGAAGUGCAUUUGAUACUGUCAGGCUUGAGUAUGGGAGAGGGAAGUGGAAUUCCUGGUGUAGAGGUGAAAUUCGUAGAUAUCAGGAGGAACACCGGUGGCGAAGGCGACUUCCUGGACCAAUACUGACGCUGAGGUGCGAAGGCGUGGGUAGCAAACAGGAUUAGAUACCCCUGUAGUC
rnacentral:rRNA from 1 species